CUCCCUCGCUCCAUGAGCGGGCGGGGGAGCUUUUAAUGCCACCGUCGGCGGUUGCAAGUCCGCAUAAAGGCAGAGCAGAAA
rnacentral:ribozyme from 1 species